AUGAACGCUGGCGGCGUGCCUAAUACAUGCAAGUCGAGCGAACGGACGAGAAGCUUGCUUCUCUGAUGUUAGCGGCGGACGGGUGAGUGACACGUGGAUAACCUACCUAUAAGACUGGGAUAACUUCGGGAAACCGGAGCUAAUACCGGAUAAUAUUUUGAACCGCAUGGUUCAAAAGUGAAAGACGGUCUUGCUGUCACUUAUAGAUGGAUCCGCGCUGCAUUAGCUAGUUGGUAAGGUAACGGCUUACCAAGGCAACGAUGCAUAGCCGACCUGAGAGGGUGAUCGGCCACACUGGAACUGAGACACGGUCCAGACUCCUACGGGAGGCAGCAGUAGGGAAUCUUCCGCAAUGGGCGAAAGCCUGACGGAGCAACGCCGCGUGAGUGAUGAAGGUCUUCGGAUCGUAAAACUCUGUUAUUAGGGAAGAACAUAUGUGUAAGUAACUGUGCACAUCUUGACGGUACCUAAUCAGAAAGCCACGGCUAACUACGUG
rnacentral:rRNA from 1 species